ensembl:lncRNA
GAGUUUCUAAAAGAUUAGGGUUGCAUUAUAUAUGUUCUGAUGGUAUUAAAAAAAAAUAGAAGGAAGCUAAACUAAAACGUUUUAAUCCAUGGAAAAUGGCUUUUCCCACACAUGCUUUGGACAGAUGUUGAAAUCGUGUCACAGUUUAGAAUGAGACUGAAUUAAUUUUUUUUCCUAAUGAAACAAUACUUUCAUUUUUACAUGGCAGUUAUACAAUUUCAGUUUGUUCAUCAUAGAAUCAUGGAAUGGCCUGGAUUAAAAAGGACCACAAUGAUCAUCCACUUUCAACCACCUUGCUAUGUGCAGGGUUGCCAACCACCAGACCAGCCUGCCCAGAGACUGGUUUACACUGAACGUAGAUUGUGGUCAAAAUUUAACAAUUGGAAAGGUCCCUUCCAACCCAAGCCAUUCUGUGAUUCUAUGAUUCUUCAGAAUAAUCUUCAAUGAGUUAGAUCCGACUGUGAUUGCUGCAAAACUUAGUCAGUUAUUUUUAUUACAUGAUCAGUUUUCCUCAAAGCCUGUCUUCUGGGUAGAUUUUAAUACAUCUAAAUACCUUAAUAUUGUUUUCUCAAAGGAGGAAAACAUUCUAACUCAUCCUAGGGAUUAUAAAAGUAGUAAUUUUCUCACAGCUGGCCCUUAAUACAGCUAAUAGCUCUUGGCGUCACCUUAGGAUGGUUAACAAGGCCAUCAUUAACUGUGGUUAAUGAAAAAGUAAUUAAACUUUUUAAAAUCUAAUCCUGGAUGACAAAUCAUUAUAAAUCGUGCCCUUGGUUAUUCGUGUCACUAAUGUGAAUAAAUGAGUUUUAAGGUCUAUGUAUGCAUAAAACAAAACUGUAAGCAAACAUAGCAUGAAUCCUGCUGGUUGUCAAUAGCUAUUUUUUUUCAAUCGCUUUUAAUACUUCUUAAAAUGUCCAUGACUUUGGGUGUAAUUUUUUGAAGAUUUAAGAAGAAACCUUAACAUUUUCUGUGAGAAUCCCAAAAUCUGCUCUGGGAUUAUCCUCACUGACUUGGAAGAUCAUCAGCCAAACUGUGGAGAUUUGAAAGACGGAGGGCAGAGGUAUUGCAAAUCUAGCAAGACACAGUUCAGCAAAGCAACCUAACUGGAUUUCAACUCUUAUAAGCUGUCAAUAGAAACAGGAGACAGUAAAUUAAUAUAUAUUUUUUUUUCUGUUUUGAGUGCGCCUAAGAGAACUCAAUAAAGAAAUAGAAAUAGGAUCAAUACAUUCUGUCUGAAAAUCAGUUUAGAAGGAGCCACGGUGUCUCAAGGAGGAAACACUAACUAGUUAAAAAGCCUUUCACAAAACAAGUUAGAAACCUUCUGGUAAAUCCUUUGGAUGUUUCAGACAUACUGGCAUUAACUCAUAACCACCCAAACACUUCCCAUAUACGAUCAGUCCUAUUUAUGGCUUUUAGGUCAUAGAAUCACAGGAUCAUGAAGGUUGGGAAAGACCUCUCCGAUCCCCAAGCACAACCCCAGCCCACUCCACCAUGCCCACUGCCCACGUCCCUCAGUGCCAUAUCCAAAAUGGUUCUGGAGCACCCUCAGGGAUGGUGACCCCACCGUUCUCUGGGCAGCCUGUGCCACUGCAUCACAGCUCUUUGAGAGAAGAAAUGUUUCCUAAUACCCAACCUGCUGUCAGGCUGAUACUGCCAAAACUCUUGUUAUUACCGGUAAAAUCUGCUUUGUGCUGUCAGAGCACCCUGAGGAGCUUGGAGGGCUGGAGCAGGGCACAGCCCUCUCCUCACACCUGGAGUUGGAGCUGCCUGGGACCACCAGCCCCAUCCAUCUCGUACAAUUUCCCUCAGAUCCCUGGGGGGGCUGCACACACAGAGCCUUUCUGCUGAUGAGAAGAGAGGAUUUCCUUUAAAGUAACUCCUUCACACAAUGAGUUCUCUGCCCUUUCUUCAGGUGCUCUCAGUACUACCCAGGCUAUUCCUACUCCUCCUCUGGGGCCAGAGGACGUGACCUGCUUUCACUUUCUCUUUUCUCAUCUUUCUCCCCCUCCCAUAAGACUGCAGUGUGCUCUCUUUACAUUACUCCAAGGCCAAGAACAGCCCACUCUGGCUCACCUUGUGAUUCCUCAGACCACUUCCCUCGGAGAUGCUCCAUCUGUACUCCGUGCAUUCAGAUCUGUCACGCUGCAGGGUCACCUCCUUUGUGUGUCACGUUGUCCCCUUGACCGGGGUGCAGUCAUGCUUUAAGGUAAAGGCCGUUCUCAGUGAACUUUAGAGACCUAGAAGUUACUUAUGUGCAAAAGUUAUUCCUGUCGUCAAAAGCAAACGUAUUUCCUGCUUAUCCUUACUGCUGAAAAAAGCCCAGAUUGAUUUAUUUUCAGAUUCAGAAAUCAGUUUUGCAAGCAUGAGAAUGUGUAAUAGAGCAAUUACGGGCAUUCCCCCAAAGCUGCAUUUAAAAAAACCUCCCAUGAGGAGCGUUUCAUGUAUUUGACUUGGAAAUGCUUUUAUUUUUAUAAAUUCCUUUUUUGGAAGAGUGAUGCAAUACUAUCCAUAACGCAUAGUAUUGCUUUGAGAGGUCGUGUUCUGCAGCCAGCAUUGCUGCUGCUUGUGAUGGGAAGGCACCGAGGCAGUGUGAGCAAACUUUCUUGGUGACAUUCACAGCUUUGUAAAAAAAAGACAUUUAAACUGAUGAUUUUUUUUUUCAGCUGUAAUUUGGAAAAACCCUAAGAUGUAAUUAAAUCUGGUCACAACAUUUCCGUGAUUGAAGUGAUGGAUAACAGAUAGGUUAUGCUUAUCCCUGAUGUAACAGCAUUGUAGCAAACACUCCGUUUAUUGCAUUAUAUACGAUAUCAAGCAACGUUAGUCAUUCACAUAAAUAGCUCUGGUCUGAUUGAGUUUGAUUCCUUAUUAGGGAGAGUUCCACAGUGCAGAGUGUUGUACCAGUAAUAUAACACAGAAAUUGCUUCUAGCAUGUGGAACGUGCAAUUAUAAUAAGCAAAUAUUUAACUCAAACCAUGCUCUUGGGAUCACAGUGUCAAUAACAGAUAUAAAAAAACUAAUUGUUUCAUCAGCCCGAGGCGCAUGAGAAGGGGCUGGAGCCAAGGUGGGCUGCCGGGGCUGCCCUGCACGUGGAGCUUAGCUUAUGGGAAGGUGAUGAUUAAGGUGAUCAUAAAUGCAGGCUGGGAUUUGUUUUAUGAUCAAGAUAUUGAACACCAAAUUAAUAAGCAUCAAGUUAUGACAGUAAUAAAUGGCAAUGGCAUGGGAAUGGCGGAAGGAAAAGCUCGGACUGUCAGGCAGCUGCUUGCACACAGGUGUAACUGCUGCCUGGCUGCUGCUCUGGGAAGGAAAAAUGAUUUCUUUGCGACUUUCCCUUUUGUAUCCCUUCAACUGGGACAGUCGAGACCCAAAGAAGCCCUGACACAAAAUAAAGCUAAGAGCCAGAUUUCUGCUCCUUCAGAGCCUUCUGCCUUUCCCAGCGAGCUGACUGGUGCUGCAACGUGCUGCUAUUCAUCAGCAUUUUCAAGCAGGAGACAGACUCGUGAACUCUCAUUUUCUAUGGGAGAUUUCUUCUGGAGCCGGUGUUGCCAAGUGGUGAUUAGAUAAGAUGACACCCUGGGAAAUUCAAGAUGGAAUAAAAGCCCGAGCGGGUAUGCAGCCGAGCUGCAAGGCUAUCAGUCCUUAUUGAAGGGGCCUUCAUCUGGGACAUUCAGAGGGGCUCUUUUAAAAGCACCAGCUCACUAAUGAAGCUUAAUGGUUCUGAAUUGAUGGUACCUUGCAGCAGAAGCUGCUUAGAUGCUUAAUAAUGGCAUAAUCAUCGUCCGUCAGCCAUUUGGUUGGCACAGAAUGCUUAUGCCUGCAUUGUUCCAUUUAAGAUAGAUAUAUUUACAUUUACUGACAUUGCAUACUUUCAUAUCAUAUCCCUCUACAUGUAUCACAAUAUCCUUUGUUUUGAAGGUGGGGCUGCAGGGAUUUGGAUCAACUAACAUCAUGGGAAAUUUAGGAUGAACCAGAACUGGUGUGCCUUAUAGAAGUAGAACUGUUUUUUUCUGCCCCAAUUCCAGUGCUCUUUUAUGGAAAUCUAUCAUCACUUUGUAAGAGUUUGUGUGUCAGAAUGAAUUGAGUCAUUAAUCGCAAAUACAUCAAGUGAGAUCUUGGAAUACAAGAUGUAUAUGAAUGCAUGUGAAAACUGUUGAAGGAACGAAAAGAACAGAUAAAAUGAGGCAGCAUAGCAAUGAAAAACAUCGAAUAGGAAAAGUAACAAAAGAAGAUGCUAAAAAAAAAAUCAAAGAAAAGGCAACUAUCAUAUACAGAUAAAGGGGAGACAUAGUUAGAAUUAAAUGCGAGAUAUUCCGUAUGCUUUUAAAUACAUCAGUUACAGAAAGCUGCCAUAAGAUGACAUUGUACUGCAUUAUACUAAGCACACAGAUUUUAUGGGCCUUGCACUCCCAACAUCUGAUGUAGAACAUAAGUCCAAGCACAGUGCUGUGCAGUGGAACUGAAGGAUAAGGACCAUUGGGAAGAUAUGCUCUUUCAGACUUUCAGGUACUACUGGAUUUAUUUCACAUUUCUGAAUGGAUUGCAUGAAAGUAAAUUUAAAAAAAAUAGAAAAAUAUAUGGCACAAAUAAUGGGAUAUUCAGAUGGAUAAAAGCACCGUUGGAUCCCAUACUACUCUACCAGUGACUUUGAUGGUGAUGUAAUCUCAGAGAAAGCACUGAAUCAUGCUAUCAAUUAACUUGAGUAACAAUGUAUAUACACAGGAAGUUUUGCAUAGCAGACAAAUUUUAGUAUUUUGUGAAAAAAAAAAUGGUGAAGUGAUUGGAGGAUAUCUGUUAAUUAGCCAUACAACUUUUUGAACAUUCACCUAAAGAGAACCAAGAACAGUGUUAGCAACAAUGUGAUACAAAAUAAUUAGCUUGUUUUCAGGGCUUAAAUAGUCAUUACUUUCUUGUGAAGUCCCUAAUUAAGCUAAUCCUAGUUUAUAAUACAUUAGCAACCACUCUUUAUGUGGAAGCUACUUCUUAGAGGAUAAAAAUAACUUCAAAGUUUGACAUGCUCAAAAACGUAUGCAAAAAUGUAGAGCUCGGGACAGGAGAAAUACAGACGAAGAAAUUCCUGAUUUAUUCCUUGCUGCCCACGUGCUGUUUGUUCACCUGAAGGCUGCAGAUACAACUGCUUAAAGGCUCCAGUGAAACAAUUUCCCCCUUUCUGCUCUGAAAGCCUGUUACCACGGUUUUCUUAGGAGGUCCUGCUAUAACAUUACCCAAUUAUUUCCUAAGAACCGCAAAGGUAUUCUUUCUCACUGACUCACGCUCUAAUAGAUGAAGGACUCAUUUUCAGUUUGCUAUUUGACUUCAGUCAAAGGAAAAGAGCUGAUAAUACGAAGUUAACGUAACACAAAGCACAAACCCUGGGCUGCAGAACACAGUGGGCUCUGACCCUUAUCCACAGAGAAAAAAAAACAAAAGUGAAGAGGUAGAAAUAAGCUCUGUUUUGGGACUGGGAGGCCUGCACCUAGCUGCUGCCAUUUGUUCACAGUGGGCAGAAUUAGUGUCUUUCUCCAGCUUUGUGCUUUGCUUGCUAAUUUACCCACGGUCAAGUGGAGGCAAUGUUGAGUUACAAAGCCCCCAAAGACAUGCAGGAGUAAGUUCAUUUUAUGCAAGGUGAUGGAAUCAGCUGAUGUGGCAAAACCCAGCGCCAUGUGGCCUCCCAGCUGAAAGGAAUGAUUGAUUGAAAAAACUGCUGAAAACUUGGCCAGUGAAUGCUUCAAGGAGAUCAACAUGAAGCAGGGAAGGCUGGCUCUCCCUGCCCCUCAGAAUUACCACAACAAGGAGCCACGUCUCCCAUUUAAAAACAGAGCGGAACCUCUCACUUAAAUAAUUUGUAGAAGCUUUGCUAUCAGUUUAUGCUCAGAAACUAAAAACUGGGAAAGAUAACCACAGUGAGCACGAAAACACCUGAGAUCGACUUUAUAUACAGCAAGCUGCAGGAUUUCUACAAAACUAUUUAUCCAAACAUCUCACUGAAACUUGGGGCUGCCUCACCGCGUCAUGUAAUAUUCUGUCUGUUCCCCCUGCACUUACAUUCCUGGUACGGUAUCAAUAUUUCACAAACUCUUCUUACAUGGGCUGUUUAAUAUGUUGUAAGAGGCAAAACAUACAUGGUAUACGUAAGAGAAAGAGAUUUCCUGCCAAAGAUAUUUAACAGACCUAUGCAACCUAGCAAGAGGCAUAAAUCAAAACACAAGGACAUGCAAUACAAACAGUGUGAUAAUGGUGUUCAGCGAUGUGGCUGUGUGUAUAUAUAAUGCUUAUUUCGAAUUGCCCUCUGCUCUAUUAGUCAGUGUUAGAGCUCCUGAGCAGCUGGAACUCGGCUCCUUCAGUCUGCCCAGCUGGAAUUCAAAUAGUCCUUAUUACACAUUAUGUACGUUCUCACUGUCUCAUGCUUUUUUUUUUUAUUUUUAUUUUUUAUUUUUAUUUUAUAUUUGAGCAGAGCACAUUGAAGUUAGAAAAGAUUAAGUGGAAUUAAACAUGGAUGCCAUUUUGCAGAGACAUUCCUCAGAAGACACGCUCUUUUUUUUUUUCCCCCUAGAUUCUCCUUUAGCUGUGUUAGAUCUGACUGCAAAUGACAAUCUGUACACAGGAACCAGGCAUUUAUAUCCCUAUCAUCACUUAUUAACUGUUGAUAUUGUUGCUGACAGUGUAGCGAUAAUAAUAGGGGUUCUUUCAACACCUGGCCUCAAGAUGUAGUUUAUGACAUUCAAAAAAUAUCUCAAUGGAGCUGACAGGUGAAGGCAUGUUCAGAGGCAAUUCACACCAGGAGCAGUAUAUAAGUGCCAUACAAAGCUGACUGUGACCUUGAGAAGUCUUUGCCAGCCCUUAGGAGCUGACUUAGGCAUUCAGAAGCAAAGUCAUUUUCUCUUAAUAAGGUAUCACUGUCUCCAUCUGUAAAUCACUCUACAGCGUCAGCGUGUUGUAGUUCGUGUAGCAAAAUGACUAAUAGGAAAUAAUAGUGUUGCAAUAGAGAGUAUAAGGAGAGCUGUGAUUUGAGUGAAAAACACACUACUGGAAAGCCAGCUGUUCCCACUUCCCUGACUAAUUGAAGGCAUGAAGUGAAUGCACUGAUGUGCUGAUUUCCUCCAACUUGCAUAAGAUGCGAGGUUCUUCGAAGAGGCAGUAGGCUUCUAAAUGGUUUGGGCCUGAAUAAUGGAAAAUACCUUCAGCUUCCAAAAUUAUUGUUUUACAGACAACUGGAUGUGAGCCUUUCAGCGAGUACAUCAUCUGCAGUGCAAAUAAAUGGAUCCUGUCUCCACAUCUGCAUUUACAUGGUGUGCAGCACCUGUAUUCAUACCGUGGUCCACCACAGCCAUCUACAGGUCAAUGCACAGGGAUUCCUCAGCAGACACAGAUAUUUCAAUGGGAGAAGAUUGCUGUGAAGACCUGAAAAUUACUGAUGUAGUCUAAAGCAAGCCUAAUCUCUCCAGUAAAUUCACAUUCAUGGGACUUGAAAAGCAAUGAGUUGGGAGGGACCUUGGCUAGACAAGGGACAUCCAAGAUGUGGCCAAACGAGAAAUGGCAUCAGGAUGGUAUACAACUAUUUCUAUGUCCUGUGUUAAGACUGGAAAAACCAGCAGGUAAGGUACUGAUUCAUGGGCACUGAAUGUCCAUCACCAAUAUAAAAUUGGCCCCUUCCGGAUGCCGCAAGGGAUGCUCCAACAAGACUCGUGUGCUGCCCUAAGGUCUUGCCAGAUAAACUUUUUCUAAUGCCCAAAGAAAUACAUCUCUACACCUUCUCCAAAAAUAAACUGACAACCCAGAGUGAUAGAAACAAGAUUUCUCAACCAACGUGUUGUUUAAAGUUGAAGGAAGCACGUUUCUGUUGCAGUAGAACAGACUAGACAAAGUCAGAGGAGAUAUUAUUAGCUAGGCACCAUCCCACAGGAUCAGAGAAACGUUACUAUAGGAGAGAACAACGCAUUGCAUCACUGACAGAAGUGAAAUCUCGUCCCUCAGAAGCCAGGAAGUUGUUGCAGUCCUUUCUCAAGCAGCCUUUGCUCCCACUCCUCAUAGUCCUCCUAUGACAGUUCAUUCAACACCCCAGUUCUGACAGUAAAACCACAGGCAAUGGAACCAGCUGGUACUUAUUCUCUUUUUGACCCAACUGCUUUAAGACUAAAUAUUUCUUCCACAGGAUGGAAAAUCUUAGUUUUGGUGAAAUAUAUAAACUGUCAGUUCUGAAACGUGAAUCCUUUGGCCUCUUGAAAAAGACUCUCCAACAAAUAAAAAUAGAUGUUUUUUGACCCUUCUUAAGCAGGCUGUGAUCUUCUUUCAGAGCCUAGUUACUUAAUAGGACAGCUAUCUGAGAUCACACUACUGGGGGGUCUGAAGAAUAUAUUAUCUUGCAGAAUAGACUAUAGCUGGAAUUUCCAUGAAGGAGAAACAGAACGCAAAGACUUUUGGAGGAAGAAUUGCAAAUAAUGAGGAAGUACACAGCUGACUUAAAUAAAUACAUGAGCAAAUACAUGUUGAUUGCUAGUCCAUGCUGAUAAAUGCAUCCUAUUGAAAACUGGGAGAAGGGAAAAUGUCUGCUAAAUGGUAUAGUGCUGCUGAAUACUAACCAGGAAAGAGAUUUUAACUUUAUUGUUGGGAAAUCCCCAAAGCCUUUGCUGUGCUGCUUCAAUAUGCAGCUGUGGCACACACAGGACAAACAGAAUGCUGUGUAAAAAAAAUAAGCCUCUGGGAAAGGAGCUGGCGAUGCAGACCAACGCAUCACUGAGCCAAUGGUAUUCCUGGAGCAGACAUAUUGCUCUGAUUGGUGUUGCAUCGAUGAUGAAAUUGCUGACUUAAUGAGUUAAAAAAAAAAAAAAGCAAGUAAGAAGUUGCAGAGUUGUUGCUAAUUGUUUGAAAACAAAUCUCAUGCUUUAAAACGUAUUUGGAAAUAUCUAGCAAAACCCUGAAUGAACAGCAAGCAACCACUGAGAUGGUAUUAGGUAAAUGGCAGCCAAGUAAGGAAUAGACACAUUUGAAUCAGAUGAUUAUAUUUUUGGUCAAGGUGAUAAAAUCUGGUGUCACAGUUAAACAGGAGGGUAUCAAGCACUAAUUGCACUUAUUUUAGAGAUGGCUGACAUUCUGAAAAGAUUUCAUAAAUACCCCCACAUGAUCUCAGAUAUUUGGUGAUGGUUUAUGUUACAGUCCCAGCAGUACAUCCGGAUGAAAUAGGCUCUGUCAAUGUUAAUUCAAAUCUUUGAAAAGCUGUUUUUAGCUCUUCAGUCUUCUGCUACGUCUUGGGAGAGGUAAAAAAAGCUCCUCUAAGAGUUCUAUUAUGUGAUAAAGAGCGAGUCACACAAAUCUGCUCCUCAAAGAGGAAAUCCAGCAUUUCAAAAUGUAAUACCACGGGUGAGGAAACGCUCAGAGUAGACACAACAGCCCUGCUAUUUUCCUGGUAAGCGUUGCAAUAUGGUGGAUGGUUUAAAAGUUUAAGCCAUGUAAGAGUGUCGGCUGUAGGCAUUAGGAGGGACUGAAGAGAAAGACACUGCGUCUGGGGGGAGAUGUAUUGAAAGAAGAAGCUUGAGGCUUGCAGGGCUUGGAAGAUGCUGGUUCACUGCCCUGCUAUGCCAAGCAUUUCCAGAAUGACCUCGGACACCCUCAGCCCUCUGAGCUUCAGCUCUUUACAAAAGCAGCUCCCUACCUCAAAGAUUUGUUAUAAGGCAAAAUACGGUCCAGGCUGUGAAGCAUCUCCAGUAUGGCCAAGUUUUACAAAUACCUGUGAUCUGUUGAGAUUUGGUUUUGGUCUACAUGCCACAAAUUCCCAAGUACAUAAUAAAGUCAUUUUAACAACAUGGUUAUACCAUUUUUUUGUAUGAAGACGAGCAAAUAAAACCUGAAGGGCAAUCCAAACUAAGUGAGAAUGUGUUCCUUUAGUGAAAAACAGACUCACACUUUUCAAGCAUUCUGAGCUGCUGGAUCCCAAUAUGAGAGACAUACCUACAAAUGUGCUGAAAAUAAGGGAGCAGCAGCGUGGAAAUUAUAAUUUUCCCAUUAGAAUUUGCUAAGAAAUGCAGCUGUGCUUGCUUUCCCUACUGAUCCCCAGCCUUCAAAUUCCUCUAAAUUAAAUUGUAAAAUAAUGAUCUCCUUUUCUGUUUUCUGCUAAGCUACAUAGUUAAUCCCUGAUACAGAAAUAUAUAAAGAACACAUAAUUUUAGGAAAACCAUUAUUACUAAAAUACAGAAGGCCUCAGACCAAAGGGUUCCCACAAUUUCCAAUGCACAUUUUGAACCCAGAUCCUUUAGAUUUGCCUCGGCCUAAUCCUUUUGUUUGUAACCUGAUUUUAGGAAGAAAAAAAAUCAGACUAUGAUUUUAACGGGAACAUUCGGUUGUGAUAGCAAACACGCAUCCUGAAAUAAUCUGAAACAGCCUGUCUGCUUUAGCUUUUUUAAGCUUAUGAUUAUUUUUUCCUGGUGAUUUCAAAUGACUGCAUGGUAAGAGCAGCAGACAGGCCUGGAAGAGGAGCAUCUCUGUUAUCAACAGCCACCCAUGCCAGCAUGUUGAACGUAACAGAGCUUCUGAGCUUGUAAGGACUAACACGUGGAAGAAAUAUUAAUAACUUUAAUUAAAGUUAUUCAGUUAUCUGGGAUUUCUGUGAGUUUAAUAAGGUCAUUGAUGUCAGAGGAAUGCAGGUAUCUUAAAUUUCUCACUUUCUCUACCAAAGCGAACAUGGCAUUUAAGUACAUUGUCAGCCUAUAUGGCAUUGUAAUUCUUUUAAAGUAGGAGGUGUUUAAGAAGCAGCACUUGCAGCUACAGGCAAGCCUCAUGUGGGGGGGGGGGGGGGGGGGGGGGGGGGGAGGUGGGGGAGAGCACUUGAAUGGUAGCGUUGUUGGUUUUGUUUACCAGGGACCAGCUCUGUCCCAUAUUGCCAUUAAGUGGCUCCAUCCUCCAGUGCCCUCAAGGCACAGAAAUGGUGAGAAGCAGACAAGGGACAUCUCCUUUUGUAAGAGGCGUUAUAUACGAUACAUAACUACAUUUUCAAACUGCUUUUAUUAUUAUUAUUACUCUUUUUAACAUGCUCUCUUUCUCUCCAGCAUCUCCUUCUACCAGGUCAAAACAGAAGUUGAGGGGAACAAAAAGACUGACAACAAAGAAUUAUUCUGGGACUUCUGAGAGAAGCUAGGAUAUUUAUGGAUUUAUUAUAUUCCCUGGGAUAACAAGUUUCUGAGAUGUUAGUACAUUGUCAAAUAUUUUUCAAGGUUAACAGUUUAGGGACACAAUUAUGUUGCAAGUUGUCUACAAGAAUAAUUAAGGGUAUUUCAGAGAUAUGCAAGAAAAAGUGCUCCUGCAGCUGUCAGAAAGCGAGCGAUCCCAGCUCAAAGAUAAGCCCUCUCCUUCUUUUUUAGUCUCUUUUCAAAUAACAUCCUCCUGCGUCCAAGCAUACUCAGAAGCAGAUAAAAGGCAUGUGCUUAGGCUGGGAGGAGCGUGAGUAAUGGUGAGGUAAUUCCAGGUACAGCCCAUCCAGCAGCUGCCUACCAGGGGUGGCCCUCCAGAAAGGCAUUGUUAAAUAAAUAUUUCCCAAGGACAGAAGAUGGUAAGAAGUCAUGAAAUUUUGCCCAGAGAGGUUGUGGAUGCCCUGUCCCCGGAGGUAUUCAAGGCCAGGUUGGAUGGGACCCUGGGCAGCCUGGUCUAGUAUUAAAUGUGGAGGUUGGCAGCCCUGCCUGUGACGGGGGGGGUUGGAGCUUGAUGAUCCUUGUGGCCCCUUCCAACCCAAACUAUUCUAUGAAGUUAAAACAUUAGACCUGCUGGAUUGUGUGGUUUCAUCCAAAAAGCUCAUCUUACUGUUUCAUCCCAAUCUAUUUCAUUUUUCACAUGUCAGAUAAGACGUUAAGAAGCUAGAAGUGGUAGUUUAGAACUACCAUAACAAUGAUUUAACAUGGAUAAAUGCAACAUAAACUGUACAACGUCGUCAUGUAUGUAUACUCCAUAGUUUCUAUCUUCUCUUUUGAAUGUUUUGAUCCUGAAACAAAAGUAGGGAAUCUGAGUUUUGGGAGGAGUAAAAAGUAUCCCUGACCUACAAUCUUAUUUUCAAAGCAUGGCUUGGUAACCUCUUGGAAUUUCCUCAAGGUUUUGUAAAUAUUCUGCUGAGUUCUUUCAAGGUGUUAAUAUGUCAUCCAAAAACCAGAAAGUACUAUUUAUUCUCCACAGGACUCAAUCCAUUCUUCUUCGAAAUCCUGCAGGUAACCAGCUCCCCCCUAGGGUAAUCUCUCAUACUUCAGUAGGCACAUAAGUAUGUGUUAAUUUAGUCAGAAUUAGUGUUUCUUCUCCUUUCCUUCUCCCCUUCCCUUUCCACUUUUCCUGCUCUCUUUCCUUUUUUUCCUCCCCUUCCUUUUCCCUUUCCUUUCCUUAAAUUUUGUUUGCUAUGUUGCUGCCAGGCUUUGGACAAGUGAAGCCUGAAAAAAUCUAUUCCCUCUCUCAGUUUUGUAGGUAAACCCAUGGCUUGGGGAUUUUUAUAGGCACACUGAAUACAGAACUUCUACAUGUAAAAUUAUAUCCACAUUUUCAUCCCCUGUCCAUGUUUUCCUUGCAUGUUUUCAGUGCAAUUAUAUCUUUAAUAAUGGUGUAAUUGCAGAAAUCUUGCAGAAAAUACAAGACUUUAAGCAUUGCAACUGCAAUGUAGAUUUUUAUACUACAGAUUUAUUGGUGAAUAUUUUCUGUUGCAUUUGCAUAAAUACUAUUCCAGAAUAACAAGGUUUCAAAAUAUUUCUCUGUUUCAUUUAACUGGAAGGUCUGUGAUAUAGAGUUAUUUCAGAGAAUCAUAGGAUGUCUUGAGUUGGAAGGGACCCCAAGGAUCAUCAAGCUCCAACCACCCUGCCGCAGGCAGGGCUGCUAACCUCCAUAUCUAAUACUAGACCAGGCUGCCCAGGGCCCCAUCCAACCUGGCCUUGCACACCUCCAGGGAUUUCAUCUAAGAAUGCUUGUUUUUUAUUAUAUCUCUCUUUCAUUAUUACUUUUUUUUUUUUUUUUUAUGAAUAUAGUCCCCAGAAAACAGAUACAGACGACAAUAGUGAUCUUUGUGAAGAAGCAGCUUUGAAGCCCCCUUUACUUACCAGAAAACUAUCAUUCCAGAUCCUAAUAAAGCUCAGAGAUUCAGCUGAGCUCGCUGUACUGCAGCAAGCUUAAAUCACAGCUGAAGUGAAAAGAGAGAUUCAGAUUAUGUACUUCCAGAGAAGUGCCCAAGCUCACAGCAGUAAAUAAACACACCUACAAGAGAGAACAGUUUUUCUCCACUCAGCGUAUCCCCAGAUUUCCUUCUUCACUGCUACGUUACCCAUGUGGCAGAUCAGGGCAGAAUCACAAAAAAUUCCUACAUUUUUCUUGUGCCAUAAUAUCACCUCCACUUAUUCCUGUACCUGAUCACUUGUGAUUAAGGCCGAUGAGGAAGACUAGUUUCAAGGGAUGCAGAAAGUUUAGUCGUCCACACAAAACCAUAACGACUCUUCAUUUGUUUUAUACCCCAAGGACAGAUUUCUGCCUGUAGUCAGCAGCACUGAAGCACAUCUUACUCUCAACUGAUGGACUAAUCUGACUCUCUGAGCUACCUUGCCUUGCUCUGAAAACUGAGAUUGCAUGGGAAGAGUUUCUACCAUCUCCUGUACUUAACCAUGAUUCUCCCAACUCAUGUCACACCAAAUUUAACCGUCAACUCUAAGUAAAAUGGAUUAAAAGUCUCCAGAGAGUGAUGAUCUUCCAGAGGGAGAGGCUCCAGUGACUUUUGGAUUGCCAAAAAGAUGAAGACUUUUUUUGCCUCUUAUGAAAUUUGAAAAGAUCACCACUUUAUCUUAGGGCCAGGUCGUUUAAUUACAACGAUUUACCACUGAUAUUAAAACCAAACGUGAUAAUUAUUAAGAAAUAACUAACAAUUAAUAAAUGUAUUUUUAAAAUAACUAUGACCUUUCACCUUACAGAUCCAGAUUUAAUUAUUGGAAUACUUCCAUCUUUAGAAGAUUAAAAAUAUCAUUUUUCUGGUAGUCAGUAAGAUCCACUGUAUUGCCCAUAAAGAGCCAUGUCUCUGUUACUCAUUAAAUAGAAGUUUUAAAGAGUUUUUAAUUAAGGGAUGAACAAGUAAAUUCAGCCCAUAAGACAAGCAGGACAUGUAUAUGUGGAAUAAAACAAUAAAUAAAGAGAGGAUUAAAUACUUCCAAGUUGUUCAAUGAUGAAUUAAACAAAAGUCCAAAUACAAGAUUUCCUCACCCUUCCUGCUCAAGAUUUAUACCACUAAUCAGCCAAGUUUCAAAUCCUUAAUACAGUAAAGCAUUUGCCUUUAAGGCAGCAGCAAUUCAAGAUUGCUAGCAAAAUGAAUGUAUUUCCAUUAGGCAAAAUAAUUAGGUCAUAUAUUCUAACAGUAUCUUUGGACUUAAAUCUCUUUGGUGAAGGGAACUGUCAAUCACCUACAAUUCGAUCAACAAUCUUGGCCAGAAACCACCCCAUAUGUGGAAAGAAAAUUACAAGUGACUUUUCUGUCCCUUGCAUUUAUUCAAGGUCAUUCAUAAAAAAUAACAGUGAAAUGACAGGUUACAUUUUGUCCUACAAAUCUGGUGCUUUUUGAGGAAUAUAUUUGAAUACUACUUUAUGUUUAUUAAAGCCAGUAUGAGUACCUAUGCAAAUUAAAACUCUUCAAAUCUCCACAUCAGAAUGAACUCAUGCAUUUUAGUACAACUUUUCAGGGUGUUGCAGGUUUGUAACUGUGAGCACAGUAAAUCUUUACAGUCCAUGAUUACUUGGUUGUUGACUUUGAAGCCCUCAGUGCACAAGAGAUAUGCUUACAGAACAAACACUGAGCAUUUCUGCUUGGGCAUGCUUCAGAAUCCUUCCCUAGACAGAAGCUUAGCAGAAAGGGAGGGGAUCCAUUUAUUGCCUGGCUGGUGGGAUGGGGCAUUUGAAAAGACAAGGUGUGCCUAAUUGAACAGAAAUUUACAAUUACCUAGAAUAAAACCCCACCUCAUGCAACUAGGCACUUUAAAAUGUAUAGCUGUUUAUAUGCUUCUGCACAGCUCACUUGGAGAGUGAGCCUCAAUCCUUUAGACACUUGGGCUCAUUUUGCCACAUUUAUAAACCAUGUCAGGGGGUUGUAGCUAAUUAGGACCUGGCCUUGCAUCUCAUCAGAGGAUAUCACCUGCCGGUGACCCCCAAGCACCACUCUGAGCACCAGUGGUGUUGGGGUGAGAUCUGAAUGGCACACAUGAGAAGGGAAGUAUGAGGGAGGGCUGAGAAAACAUGCAGAACCACUGAUUUCUGUACAGGCCUCUGUGCACAGAGUGGCCAAUUAGCUAAUCACUAUUUUGCCUUCCUAUCAGAGCGGUAAAUGGAGUCACUGCAGAAUUGCUGGUGAAUAAGCCAAUGAGCACAGCUGAGCCACUGACGGACACUGAACUCUCAAAUAUCAGGGUCAUAAAACAAGGUUUUACCUUGGCUGUUGCGGUUGUAAAGCGCUGUUUGAAGAUGGCAAAUCCCCCUCUUGUUGCUGUCACAGUUCUGUUCUUCCGAUCUUCAAAUUGCAGCCUGCACAUCACCCUCCUGUGCAAGUCCAUAGGCCAUGACCCACAGCUGCUUCUGCAGUCCCACUGCUAUAGCUGCAUCAAGUAGGAAUACCAUAGGAGAUUAAUAUAACCAUAAUCACAUCUGUAAUUGCCCAUACAGGCUUGGUUAAAGCUAAUAACAGUGUGCCUACCUCUGGUGAAAUCACAUCUUCAUUUUCCUGCAGAGGCACACUUGGACAUAUUCGUACAACGAAGUCCUGGGGUGUGGGCUGCUUUGCAACAUAGAGCUGUGCUAGGUAGAAUGAUCAGUGAGCAAAAAAGAAUGCAUAAGGAAAAUCCAUCAUGUGCUCUAUCAAGUUAUCAGGAGAUUUGUGCAGAAAAGCAAACCCGUGAUGUGGCCUCCCCAUCUAGCUCUGGACUAUUUACCCUGCUGAUGAGAAAAGGCUAUUAAAUACAGAGCCUGAUAUUCUGUUACUAAUAGGGAUCCCACUUAUCUAAUUGAAAGGAAAUUGUGGGAAAGCACCACUAGAGGUCACUCAAAAUUAAUUGUUACCCAAUUAGCACAAUUUGACCCUAAAGUUCAAGACGCUCUACAGCUUUCUUGUUUAAAGUACUAUCAAUUUUGACUCUUGACUGUGAGAAAACUCAGAACAGUUGGAGACAGAAAAUGUUUUAUCAGUUCUCCCCUCAUUCAAAGGUUCCUAAAUUAGCUUUGCCUUUCUCUCUGCCAGCAGCAAAUCAUUUCUUCCUCAGCAAUGAGCUUACAGAUGCUGGCAGUGAUGGACCUCUAGAAGCAUUGUUUUUAGAGGAAUUCAGACCUAGCUGUGUUAUCUCAAGCACCUGGUCACCCAUUUUGAAAAUUAGACCAAAAUGAAUUGUACAAGUGAGGGAAUAUAUAGGAAAACAACAACAACAACAACAACAACAAAAACCAACAAAAACCUUUCCAGGAUAAAAGCCUUUUCUUUUUUUUUUUUUCUUUUUUUUUUUUUAGAUAUACAUAUACAUAGAAAAUUAUAACCACUGUUGCAUGGAAGAAUGAGUACAUGUUUUUAUAACAACUGCUUGACUAAGUAAAAGAGGUUAAAAGCAAAGUUAAAGUUUGAUUAAUGGGUAUGUGUUGAAAUAUCUCUGCGUGUAUUUAAUUAAAAGCAGAUGUUCUAUUUGCAGGGCUUUUGCCACAAUCUGUGGUAAUGAUGAUAGCAAUUUAUUUGCCAAACCCAACAGGAAAAGAAAUAUCUAAUUAGUGUGCUCUAUAAGAUUAAGCCUACUAACCACUGGUGCACAUGCAUACAUCUCCUGAUGUUAUCAGGAGUCCUCCCAGUGCUCAGUAUGUAAUUCAUGGUCCUACAUAGACCAGAGUGAGGAAACAUUCCCUUCCAGUGCAGCUUGGUGUGGGAAAACUCAUGGGCAGCCACACUUCCAUGAAUGAUGCUCUAUCAGUGCUCUUAUUUCAUUCCUCAUUUCAGGUUACUGAUGAUCCUCUUAUUCUCCCCACCCCUCACUUUCAGCUUAAUGGAUAAAGGGGAGGAUUAGCUACUCAGCUUAUCAAUAUGUAUGAACAUGACAAUAGGAAAGAUUGUGGUAGUUUCUUGAAAUAUCCUUUAAUAACCUCACAAGGCCAGCCAAGGAAGGAUGCAUGGCAUCAGUGCAGCUGCAGAAAAAAACGCUAAAGCAUCAUAACAUGGGCAAGUAAUUUAUGAGGCUCUAGUCUCCUAAUUGUUUCAUCAAGGUGAUAAAUAAAUAAAUAGAUCAUCAGCAUCUGAAGAGCUGUAUGGCUUCCUUCUCUGCUUUCUAGAGAGAUUAAUCUUGCAGAGGUAGAAAGACAGUUUGCCACAAAAUCAUACUCAUAGGCUCAACAAAUGGAAUUUGGAUGUAAUUAUCAUUUUUUAAAAUGGUGAGCCACCAUCUACUUUUCUGCACAGCAAGACAGUGAAGUCAAGGAAAAUUACUCUGCAUUUAUUCUCUCCCUUAAAAUCUGUAGCAACUGAAUAAUAAGAGCUACUGCUUCAAGGUGUUCAAAUAUCCCAGGCUUCCCUCAUCUGCACAUACUGCUUCUGUGCUGGUGGCAGUGAAAGUCUUGCAACAUUCAGUCACACCUGCCUAUUCAUCAGGACAAAUUUCACUGUUUGGUGGCUACAUUACUCCCUCUCCCGCAGUACUUAGCUGGGCUUGGACUACGCAGUUAGUCCUCACCACAAAGAUUCAAGAUACUCAUGUGUUCUUGUUAUAAAAGGGGAUGGAUACAGAGAAAUAAGGGCUGUUUUACAGAAAUCCUAACUAAAACCCAACAUUAUCAGAGCUUUCCCUUCAGAAAACCUCUGCCGUUGGAACUCUUCCUCUAAAAUGAGUAAAAGUGCCAUUGAAUAUAGUCACUUACUCUUGAACGUGCACAGAAAACAUUACUGAGUGCUUCUCAUGCAACAAAGCAUACAUUUUGAAAAUCACAGAAAAAUAAGACAGCGAGCAGCUGAAGCUGUAAGGCUGAGGCAGAGAAAUGGAGGGAAAGAAAACACACUGAAGAAGAGGCAGAGUUACUACAGAAGGCCAACAGCUAAAGAUUCUUACUAGAGAAAAUAAAAAUCAGGUAGGCUCAGGUAGAGAGCCCUUUCCUUUCAUUUGCAAGGAAAAUCACAGCUUUUGAUAUGCAAAGAAUUAUAGAAUUUGAUAAGACUUGAAGGUGAGCUACCUAGAGCCAGCAGUUGCCCAGCUGGUUUGCCACAGGGCAAUUUUUGCUAAUUACAUAUCUCUCAUUCCCUGAUCAGUCCAUUCUUCCACCCAUUAUUGCCCUAGCAGCUACUGUGGGAUAUUCUCAGAUAGAACAAAUAAUUUCCUAUUUUGGUCAAAAACAAAGGUUAUUCAGCAAUAGAGGAAAGCAAGGUUUCUACCCAGCUGCCACAACGCAUUUCCAAGAGCUCGUCUUCCCCCCAAAAACCCACCUUUUACUCUGCAUGCCUCACCAUCCAAAAGCUGAUCUCCAGGUUAUGUCAUCUAAUACAUAGCAGCCACAGUUUUCCUCUCAAUCCCCUGUAUAAACUUAACCCAAUAAUUAGAAAGUAGGGGGAAAAAAAUGUCAAAUUUUCUUUUCUUGCUGAAAAAACACAUGCACGGAUGCUUCUUUCACCAAAUAUUUACACUGAGCCUUCAAUGACACCAUUCCUUUUAUCAAACUCUAAUUUUAAAAGCAUUUAGCACAGAGGAGUAAAUGUAGGUUUUCUACGUGGGGUUAAAAUCUUCAUAGGGGUUUAAAACCACUGCCUACACAGUGGGCUUUAGGUGCUCUGAUUUUUGCAAUAGUGCUCAAGCAUUGCUUCAAAAUGACUACUGAAAGCUGGGGGAAAUCAAAUAAUUCUGAUGUAUUAGCUGAAUUAUAAAGCAGUAACAGAGGGCACUGUAAUUGAAUGUAUGGAGAUGAUGAACAUUUGAACUCACACAGCAUAAGUCUUUUAUUUUAAAAUAAUCCAUAAACUGCUUUAGCAAUUCUCUAAAAGCAUAUAAAGAUACAGACAAUUCAUUUAAAAUGGCACUUUCAAUACAGUCUAAAAUCACAGAUUUUAAAAUGAUAAAAAAAUAUAUAUGUGUGAUACUAAAAAUAUUCAGUGCUUCUGAAUUAAAGCAUUUUUUCACUGGCUCUGCUAUAGUGAUUUCUGUUGCUUAUAUCUUGAUUUUCCUUGGGAAAUUGCAGCCAGAACUACUCCGAGCUCAUAGUUCUGGUCUAUUCAUAGAAUCAUAAAAUGGGUUGGGUUGGAAGGGACCUCAAGGAUCACCAAGCUCCAACCCCCCUGGCAGCAGGCAGGGCCUCCAACCUCCUCAUUUAAUACUAGACCAGGCUGCCCAGGGCCCCAUCCAACCUGGCCUAAACCUAUUCCCAGUGAAGAGGUUCAAAUAUGCGAAGGAAUCCUGUCUUUUAAAGAAUUGUUUUUGAUAGAAGGCUCUUAAAUGAACCAAUUAUCAGAGUGUAUUUCCUAUCUAAGCUGAAAUGCAAGAAGGCCCAGCUAGAAGUAAAACAGAUGUAGGAAAUCACUGUUGCAAAACUCAAUAUAAAACCUUAAGAAAAUUGGAGGAUUUGGCCAAAUCUCUUGAGUAGCGUGUUGGACCAGCGCAGCCUUACCAUUGGUAAUCCUAAGCUCCAAGUGUGUGCCUGAGUGGCCCGAUCAGGAUUCCCUGUGUGUGACAUGGGACACUGGGGACAUCCUCACUUCAUCUGUUGGGUGCUGAAGUUGGCCAGGAUCUUUUGCACUUUGCCUUGGUUGCGCUUACCACAAUGAGCUCAUUAGCUGCAUGCACAAAUCCCAGCAUGCGCAGCCACUCACCCAGCUCUGCCUGCUUUGUGUCCUGCAGGAAAUUCAGAAGGGAAUUGUUUCAAGAGGGUGUGCUGUGAUCGCUGUUUCUUCUGGUGUCACACUGAAAGGAAUACAAGAUUUUAGGCCAAGCCAUAAUGGUUGCAGUGGAGAGCUCCUGGAAGCGCAUGGUUUCUGCGUGCCGAUUUCUGCUGCCAUCAGACACAUGGUAAAUCCUGAAACUGCUGCAGGUUGGAAGCUGUCCCAGGCAGGGCACAAAAGGGAGACUGGGAAUCACAGGCUGGAAUCAAAACCCCUACAUUUAGUGACAAAUCUUGGACAGAAACUCAAGCCUCAGAAGACAGAGGAGCUCUGCUGGUAUUAUCUGGUAAUGUGAAGCUAACUACAGAUAAGAAGGCUCUCUGUGUCCAGAAAAGAAGCCAUUGGAUUGGAUUAUAUCAGACUGAGACAUGAAGGAUUAGUGAACAGGCAGCCUGACAGCACUGCUUUGUUUGUUACAUGCAUCCAAACCAGCGUGUUUGUAAAUGAAACGUGCAAUUUGGAGAUGAGUCAUUAAGGAUGGCUUUGGGGAUGUCUGGAUGCCCAGAGCUGGGGUUUUGACACCUGUGAACCUGUAAAGAUGCAAUUUUUCUUUUUCAAAUCCUUUGUAACAUCUUCCUUAAUCUUUUGCACAAUUCUCCUCCCAGACCUGGAAGUCUGAAUGGAAACGACAACUUGCUCCUCUUCUGGCUAACUAGGACCAGAGCACAGAAGUUUCCCAAGGGAAAAAAUGAUGAGCUGGCUUCCCCCACAUCUGUUCUGUUUGUCUCCAUUUUUGCUCUUUUACUGUCUAAUCUGCUCUACUGAACUGCCAAUCAUCUCCCGGGGAUGCUUUCUCUGCUUGACAGCCAGUAAGGCCAUCUGAUUUCAGGCCUCCCUGAGUGUGUGUGCUUGCAGGCCCUGGGGCUGAGAUGCACAGUCUGGAGGCUGGGCCUGGGCAGAAGGUGGCUGCUCAAAGAGUGCCCUGCAGUGAUUCCCACCUUCAUUACCACUGUGCAGCUGUUUCAGAGCUCAGAGAGGUUCAAGGAUAAUGGAGGAGCAUUGCCCUCCUUCUGCUGACCUAUUUCCCCACCUUGCUCAGCUCUGGAAGAGCUGGUGGCCAACUUGCCUCUGGCUCACCUCCAUCAACUCCAUUUAUUUCAGGAUGUUAGGUUGCUGCACGUGAAACUCUCAGUGAUGGAGAGAUCACAUGACUUUCCUUUACUCAGAGACAUGAUUUUAUCUUAUCAGCCACUGUGUCAGAUUUUCAUACUUUAUUCUAUAAUGGUGGGUGAGCGUGGGCCCCUACAGUUCCCAGAAUUCAGCAGCUUUAUAAGAAGAAAAUAACUGGACAGAACAAAUUCCCUUUAACUUCAGUGAAAAUGGGCCCAGACUGAUAAUUCUGAGGUAGAGAGAUUCGAAGCACCUAUUCUUUGCUGUUUUAUUUUUUAAAGUAUUUUAUUCUGAAGCAGCGGAUGUUACUUUCAUGGCAGGAAGCAUUAUAAGAACACUAAAAGGGUUAGGAACUUAGCUAGACCUGAGGAGAUUUAAAAGCCCUAUUCCUCUGUACAGCUCUAUCAUACCACAUUUCCUUCUCCAUCCCAUAAAACACUAACUUCUAUAAUUGCCUAAUUCUCGUACAUUUGCAAAGUAAUCAAUAGAAUGAAAAAGCUUCUGUUCAUGUGCCUCGGGAAUGCUGAUAUUACAUAAAAAUAGGUGCAAAUCAAACAUACGUCUCAAGCUCCUAAAGUGACAUGGAGCCACAUUCAAUUCCUGCACUACAAGCUACUGAGGCUACAAAAUGUAGUAGAAAUGCAGAGCACAAAGGAGAAGCAUGCCAGCCUCUUUAGAAAGCUGUGCCUAUCAUUGGCAAUGGCUGGUUGGCAUUCAUGUCUCUCAGUCCUUUGACUGAUUUGUUUCUGAGGUGUAACGGCUGCCUACGGGUUGUACCUACACUAGUGAAUCCAAUGUGACACACAGCCAGAACAUUGCAGUACACUGCUUCUUGUACUAAUAAAUAUUUAAGCAUGCAACCUAAGUGCUUCUUCAGCAUCAGUUCCUUCUCUGCUGCAAGUGACAUAUAACAACUAGCAAACCACUGUUUAAAAAGGAAAAUAAAAAAGGCCACUGACAAGCUUCUGAUGAUGGAUAAUGGAUGGAUCGUUUUUUGUUUGUAAAGUUUUGUUUUUGUUAAAUAAAGUUCCACGAGCCUUUUGUGUGUGGAGUUUGAUCCUGUGUGUGUACUUACAGGCUAACAAUAAGAAAAUGGAGAAAAAAGUUGGCUGCUGGCCACAGUUCGAGACUGUUAUUGAUGAAACCCAAGGGUAAUUUUGUGUAGGAAAGGGAAGAAAACUGUGUCAGCCUUUCAGCGAUGGAACACACUUCUCCCUCUCUCCCCAUUUGGUCUCACAAGAGAGACUUACCCAGUGCGGACCCCAGCGAUGCUCAUUAGCAGAAUGGCCUGGAUCCAAACAGCAGUGCCAAUCUAUUUUAUAAGCUUGCCUUGCCUCGUCAGUCCAGUGACUCUGGAAUGAGCAAUAACAGCUUUAGCAGAAAUCCUGAAAAUAAUAUUUAUAUAGCUACAUGACAAACAGGCAUGGGCAGAAUGCAUUUUAUAAAACAGUCAAUGUUAAUUGCUUCCAAGUAUCUAGAGAUUACUCUACCUGAAAAUAUUUUAAAAUUAGAGACAAAGAGAAGAAAAAUUCAGUCACUAUUCAAAAGAAAUUAAAAGGAGAGACAUACAUAAUGUCAGGAGUUGAUUUUAAAACUUCCUACUAGGCUGUGUUGGUUUUCCUGGCUGGAUAGUCCUCUGAUUGAGUCAAACAGGGCACAGAUUUGAGAUAAUUAAUUAAGUUCUUUACAAGGAGAGUAGUGAGGUGCUGAAACAGGCUGCCCACAGAAGUUGUGGAUGCCCCAUCCCUGGAGGUGUUCAAGGCCAGGUUGGAUGGGGCCCUGGGCAACCUGGUCUAGUAAAUGGGGAGGUUGGUACGGGGGUUGGAGAUCCAUGAUCCUCGAGAUCCCAUCCAACCCAGGCCAUUCUGUGAUUCUGUGAAUAUUUUCACCUAGAAUCUCAAAUGCUUACUGAGAACUUUCUACUUCGUAAAUUAGCAAUUGAGGAUGGGGUGAAAAAAAAUGGAAAUGACUUCUUUCUCUAGAAGAAAAGUGGGAUUUCUUCCUCCAUCCUCAAUUCCCCAGUGAGAUUUGUCUUUGGCUUCCAUGAACAUUUUCUCUGAGUUCAGAGAAAGCCAGUGGUGUAGAAGUCAUUGUAUCUAUUGUUGUGCAUACUCUUUUCUUCCUCUCAAGAAAACUCCUCAAUCAGAGCAGAAAUCCUAAGGCCAGUUUUUGAGUUGCAAGUGAUAAGAAAGAAGAAAACAAAGCAAUGUCUUUCAUACUAAAGGACUUUACCCAUCUUCAUUUAGCAUGCCAGAAAAUGCUGACUGGUUGAGCCGGAACUCCCACUGUAGGUUUUAAUCUCAUUUUCUCUGAAUACCUGUUUAUUUUUCUCAACUGGAAGAAUAAAAUUAACAAAUGUAAAUAUACAUUCCCAUCUCUGAACUGCAGAAUGGAGUUAGCUUGGGGAAGGGUUGGGAACAGACACUAUCAAGUCUUUGUGGAAAAAGAACAGCCAUUCAAAAUUCACAGUUUCAGUUCAUAAGAGAUACGAGUCCAUUCUGUUUCAUUAUAAACUAGAAGAGAUUUUUCACUGGGAUCCCAGAAGAAAACAGAAAACAAGAAGAUGCAGGAGAGAUUCAGAACAACUGCGAUUUCACAUAGUGUAAUUAAUUCUGCAGGCAUGCAGAAGACAAGGAAAUACAGGAAGGAAAAGAUCCACAGGAAAUUUAUUCCACAGAAAUAUACCUUCUCUUUAAUGGAAUCCAUAUUUGACUUUCAAAAUAUUUUUCUGUUUUUGCACUAGGCUUACUUUGCUAAUGAGUUUACCCUGAGAAUUACCCUUCCACUGUAACCGAGAGAGGUCUAUGCACAGAAACCCUCAAGGAUCUCACUUCGCUUUCAUAUCACAAUAGAUAUGGGGAUACGGGGGGCUCUCAUAGGUGGGGCAAGUAAGAUAUAACUCUGAACUUCAGCCUUGAGCAGUGCAGAAGCAGUGUUUUCGUCUACAACUCAGAAAGGAUAUGUGCCACCAGAAAUGUAAAUUUAUAAUUAAAUGCAAGAUUUAAUUUGGUCAACCCAUGGAGUGGAGUUACUAUUCAGAAGGGCUGUUAUUUCAGAGGGUGAUAUAAGAGUUUUGAAUAUUAUUGUCCUCCUCCAUGUUAUGAAAUGCAUGCGUCUCAGCGUGCUGUCUAAGAGCCCUCCCAGCUGUUUCCAAAGAGCAGCUAUUAUCAUCUGCAGGCAAGAUUGUUUUACACCACAGCAGUUAUUAGAAGGACUCCUGUAUAAUCAUUUAUAACAUGUGUGGAUCUUAGCAUUGUAGCUGAAUUUUUCAGCCUAGGCUGUAAUAUAUUAUGGGCAUCACAUAUUCUCUUCAUUAUGACUCAUAAUUCUGCAUCUUAAUGAAUCAAAAUAAAAGGGCUCCUAGUCUGUUUAGCAGCGAGCACUGUAUCUGCCGUGUUGUGAAUGCAGGUUAAGAAGACAAAAAAGGCAAAAUAAUAGUUGUGCUAUGCCAGAUGAACUCACAGUCAAUAGUCCACAAAGAAGUAAUUUAUGUAGACAUAUCGACAUUACAAAUUUUCAAUGUCCUCUUCAAAAAGGCACUCGUUCUGUAUUUCCAUCAUUUCUGAAUGACAGAGGUCUCUGAUUCCCAAGAAAAUGCAAAAGGACCUUGAAAUAAAAUGAUGCCAUAAUGACUUACAGUGAUACACUCCUCCCAAGUUUUCAGGACAAUUAUAUGCUUAUUACUUUGGAAGAGUUAGAAAACAAGCAAGCUGCAGCUUUUAAUGAAGCUUUCAUGGCAGUGAGAAGAACUAUGAAAAAGCAUUUAAAGCAGCUCAUCUCCUCCUCUAUUCAGGCUCUCUUUCAUUUCCAGAGGCAGUUGCAAUGAGAAAUUGGAUGCUAUCCAGUUUGGAUUUAUAAGGAAGCAGAAAAGGAGAUAAUGGCGGAAGUGUGUGCUUUUUUCCUCCAUGUAGAUUCAGAUCAUCUUUAACGUUUGAUCAGAUUUUGAGGAACAUGAGACACAAAAGCAGCAGAUAUUUCCAAGUAGGCACUUUAAAAAUUCAAAAGAGCUUUGCAGAGUCUCCCUGCACUCAUAGCUGCUUCAGAGUUUCCUUUUAUUAUUUUUGGGGAAGAUAGAGAACAUAACCAUCUUCUUAGCUUAGUUAUCUGAUUAUAAAACCCAACUCAAAACAUCUGAAAGUUCUGCUUACAAUGUACAGACAUACACCCCAGGCCUUUGUACUGUCAUGCUGCUAUUCUAACAAGCUAGAAAUAUGUAUGUGAGCGGGGAAGAUGCAUCAGGUUCAGAGGAACAGGCAGUUAACACUAUAUAACUGAGACUGAUCUCCUCAUCAGUCUACAAAAUCUGAAUGUGACCGCAGUGGAGAUAUUUUAUAUUAUGGGGAAGAAAUUCUCUCACCCUUUGAUGAUGCUAUUUUUAUUGCUACCAUUAUUCACCGUUUCCUGAUCAGAAAACACAACACUGCUACACCAGUUUUCACUCCUUGAUUCAGAUACACACAUACAGGUUAUGGUCAUCCUGUAAGUGCGUUAGUACAUUUAGCUCUGCACAAUCCUCCUUUCCUUCCCAGGCAACAUGUGCAGCAGCCAAAGGGCCACAAUGCUCAGAUUUGUCUGAAUGAUGUGCCACAAGAUAUGGUUUAGUAGUUUAGCAGUAGUAAUGGUGAUAGGACGGUUGGACUAGAUGAUCUUGUAGGUCCUUUCCAACCUUGUGAUUCUAUGAUUCUAUGAUAUGAGUUUUCCCUUUUCUGCUCUAACCUUGUAACCUCACAGAUGCUUGUGAAAAUAAAUGACUAGGCAGAAUAAUCUACUCAUCUAUUUUUCUGCUUGAAGGAACUUAUCAGAAAAUUUGCAACAAAAACGUGAAAAAGUAUCAAAUAUUAAUGUACAUACAAUAUUUCAAAUGUAAGUAUUUGAAUUCAGGAACUUACCCUUUUGUGCCUUCCUGUAAGAAAUCUGCCUUUGUGUGAUAACACGAAGUUAUUACAGAUGACUGAAAAGUGCAACUGCUGCUGUACCUAAAACUUGGCCAAGGGAAUUUAAGGUUGAAAACGUUAUUGGUUGCAGUUCUGUCUGUCCGUUUUCAUAAGUAUUGCUAUUCAGAGCAGAGUAUUAAACCUCAACUUGAGCAGAAUCAGAUAUGAAAUAUUUCUGUCAUCCCCAAAACUUUCUGGACAACUCUGAAGAAACCUUUUCAUGCAGCCAACUAUUAAUACCAGAGAGAGUGCAGACUGCCCCAGAUCUUCCUUUUCCAGACUUUGAGGAGUCACAAUUCUUGGGUAUUUUGAGGGAUGUUGUGAAUCAAUUUCCUAUUCAGGGCUUCAUUUUAAAGACCCAGUACUGUCCCAAACGUGAACUGCGUGAAAAUAGUUCCUCUGUUUGUUUUUUGCUUUUUUUUAUUUUUUUUUUAAUUUUUAAUUAUUACUUCAUUUAUUUUUUCCUCUAAAGCCUCUGUAUAUUUCAGUGCUCAGAUGUCAAUGAAGGGGUUUUAUGGCAGGUCUAGUAAAGCACAGUUCUCCAAUUACAACCUAGCUGUAAAAUAUACAGUAGGGUUUUUUUAGUUUUUACUUUCAGGCAAUGAGUUUUGGUCACGUCAGUUAAACCCAGCUAAAAGAAGGAGGAAAAAAUAAGAAAGAGAUGACUGUUCAGUGAACCUCAGGAGAGUUAUGAAGUUAUACAACCUCAGAAGGAUUUUAGGUAGUUUUAUACUGCCUGGCUCAGCUCAUAUUUAUAUCAUCUGUCUGAGCGCCUGAAAUGAGCUGAGCUAUGUGCUUGAUAGUGAAAAGCACCGCCACUGACUGAUGUAUCUAAGGAAUCCAGUUUGGACAUGGCUGGAUGAACCAGAAAAGAGGAUGAUAGCUACACAAAUCUUGCUAUGAUAGAUGUCACGUAAGUGAGAACUAGAUAUUACUCAAAACAACAAAAAGAAAAGAAUGUGAAGGAAAACAUUCACUAAAGAGGUAGAAUUUUGUUUAAAGUUUAACACUUCCUUGUGAACUUACUCAUGUCCAAAUUACUGUUUAAACUUGGAGGAGGAAAUUGGAGGAGAAUUGCAGUAAUCUGGAAAUUUGUGCUGCAAAUGUACCACCUACUCCAGGUAACAACCAUAAACAUAGCCUAAUUCAGUGUAAUUAUCCAACAACAGUUGCAUUUUGACUAAGUGAGAUGCUCAAAAAAACUCUUCCAAGAACCUGCAGAUACUUUGCAGAGUAAUGUUCUAUCAGUGAAGAUUUAUCUAUGGUUUCACCUGAUAAGACUUUUCAUCUUGUCUCAAAUGGUGCAAUUUACCAUACUCAGCACGCUGCAUUGCGUUCAUAUACGUAGAGAAGAACCGGAUUGAUUGUCUUUAGCCUUCCUGCCACUAAACUCAGCAAAUUAGCAGCUCACAAUUCCAGCAAAUGACUGCUCUUUUUUUUUUUUUUUUUUUCCCCCUUUCCUCGUGCUUAGGGAGAAAUUGAACUGCAAAGCUUUGGCUGGGAAGUUGAGGGCUUAUUUUGAAACUCUCCAAAGAGGAAAUAGAUAUCAAGCUGUUGUUAUAAUUAGUAAAGCAGUACAGCAAAAUAUGAGGCAGUCAUAAUGUUUUGGAUAACCCAACCAAAUUGAAUCAUAGAAAUGCUUGGGUUGGAAGGGACCUUACAGAGCACCCAGGUUCAACCCUUUGCCAUUUAUUCUUAGCCUGGAAAAAUCCAAUGUCACAAAAAUAGCAGAAAUAAAAAACUUCAGAAAAAAAGCCACAUCUUUACUGCCAUGAGGCAUACGUUACCUCUUCACAGAGACUCUUUCAGUUCUUCCUUGCGGGUGAGAGGUAAUACUUUGCUAGGUGUACCUGUGGCCCUUAUCCAGGCUAGAAGUGAGUCCAAGUCUGAUCCAUUCUAAGAAGACUGGCUGUCUUUUCUCUGAACCCGAUUACAGAAGACGUGUCUAUUUCUGCAAGAAAGGAUAAACCAUGCUCAAUGAGUAGUGUGUGGUACCAGACUAAAGUGCAUUUGAUAUUAAAAUCCUGGGACUGAAAAGGCUCCUAGUAGAGGUCAAAGUGUGCACAAGGGUAGCUGAGAAGGACAUCAGUUCUUUGCAAAGGUACUAUGUAUGGAUAGCUGUAUAGCUACCAGGGUGUUGAAUUAGCACUGUGGGUCACAAUCAUUAAAUUAUUUUAAUUGAUAUAUUUUUGUUCUUAAUUAUUCUUGGUUUCAGCGUAUCUCGUUUUUCCUCUGAAAAGCCUUGGAGAAAGUACUGGCAUUUUCAAACAUUCUAUGAGGUUUUGCCUUUUAAAAUACAGAUUUGGAUGGAGUAUUGAAUAUUUCCUCAAGAAUAUUAAAAGUUUUAAGAAGUUGCUGGUAGUUUUAUGUUUUUGCAAAUGAAAUCAUCGAAGUCAUUCAUGGAAAAUGUCUUUAACUGAUUUAACUGUGGGUGAAAUUGUGCCAACAAUUUUCUCAAGAGCACGUUUGGAGUAGUUGUAUCAACAGACUGUCAGAUUAGAACAUAUUCAAACACAAAGUUCAGAUUGCACAUUGUGUCACUGCCCCUUGGAUGGGUUUUGAACCUAGUAGCUUUGGUAGAGCCCUUUUAAAGAAGCACAAUAAGCAAUUGCUAUGGAGUAUUGCUGUUGUUGUUGUUGUUAAUUAAUUAAUGUAUUUCACAUUUCUUCUAGGAUCAAUUUCAUUUACAUAAUUAGAGGAAUAAUUUUAAAUGGCCUGUGUCUAUGGAAAUCAUUUUCCCACUCUACAAAAGCAAACUGUAUUUGCAGAAAAUUCAUAUCUUGUAGGUGUGGCUUCACCCAUGCAAUGGCAUUUCAUACAUCAACC